GCUCGGGUGGCCUAGUGGUUAGAGCGUCCGCCUCAUGUGUAGGAGGUCAUAGGUUCGAUCCCUGGUCGAGUCA